UUAAUGUCGUAAGGUGAAUUCUUAGAAAUUAUUCGUUUCGACUUCAUUUCUGCAAUGCUUGCGCCACAGACGACACUAACAGUGACACUUCAGAAAUAUGUACUUCUUUGAUGUAGGCUGCUGGCAGCAAGAAACGACUUAAGAGAGAAUAUAAUAUUUUACCGAACCAAAACUUCACCUCACGCCAAAGUAUGUGCCAUGAAGAGGCGUUUUUAGAUGAAAAGUUUUCAUUUUAUAUCGACGACUAAACCAGCACCCCCACCAGGCUACCCUGGUGAGGAGGGUUGCUAGAAACCCAGCAGGAUUAAAAACAAGACCUGUUGAAUGGUCGGAUGAACCUGGUGCAGGCUCAGGGACAAUCUAGCAAUAGCACGGGUACUCAGAAGUUCCAGGAUGGUGUCCGGCGUACUAAAAGGCCACUGGAAGUGAGACACUCCUUAUCUUCUGUUGAAGCAUGUCUCUAGAAGAAGGUCACUCACAUAUAAAACCAAAUAUGCAGGGAAUGGCAUUGGACAUUUUGGGGAUAUUUGGUUUGUGUUAGAGAUCAUGGCGCCCCCACAUCCCUGAGCCUUCGAUUAAUAUUGGCACCAGACAUGUCGCUCUGGCUUGUCUCUGGAUAGUGUCAAUAGAAUGGAGAGGGACUAUGAGAUUUUCUUUGCCGACCAACCUGACCCAGCUCGAGGCUUUCGCCAAAGAAGAGUGGGCCAGCAUCCCACAGGAGACAUGCAGGAAACUUGUGGACACGCACAAGAAUCGUCUAGAAGCAAUCAUAAAAAACAAAGACUAUGCAAUUGACUAUUAAAGAAAGAUAUUGGACUCAGUAAACCGAAGAUAUGAAUAAUUUUGAACAGGACAUUUUUUGAAAAUCCAUAAAUAAAAUACCUUUGAAAUAAAGAAUUUCUUGAAUUGUG
rnacentral:lncRNA from 1 species